rnacentral:ncRNA from 1 species
UCGGCCGGAGCCCGCUCACUCCACUUUUUGAACGGGGGACGACUGACAAUAAAGGAGGAAAGAUCCCCUGACUUGGGGUGCGGCAGUGUGGAGACCUGUCGCAAUGCGCGACCGACAUAUGCGCGGCGCGCGAGGCGGUUCGUUGAAGGAGUUCGGGACCGUCGAAGUCAAAUGCAGUAUGGCA